rnacentral:rRNA from 1 species
UAUCCCCCCCUGUGUGCCCCUUGCCCUCCCCCACCGACCUGCAGAACGCGAAGAACCUUACCAGCCCUUGACAUGGCAGGACGAUUUCCAGAGAUGGAUCUCUUCACUUCGGUGACCUGCACACAGGUGCUGCAUGGCUGUCGUCAGCUCGUGUCGUGAGAUGUUGGGUUAAGUCCCGCAACGAGCGCAACCCUCGCCCUUAGUUGCCAUCAUUUAGUUGGGCACUCUAAGGGGACUGCCGGUGAUAAGCCGCGAGGAAGGUGGGGAUGACGUCAAGUCCUCACGGCCCUUACGGGCUGGGCUACACACGUGCUACAAUGGCGGUGACAAUGGGCAGCGAUGGCGCGAGCCGGAGCUAAUCUCAAAAACCGUCUCAGUUCGGAUUGCACUCUGCAACUCGAGUGCAUGAAGCUGGAAUCGCUAGUAAUCGUGGAUCAGCAUGCCACGGUGAAUACGUUCCCGGGUCUUGUACACACCG